GUGCUGGCGUCGGCUGCACGGGGACUAAAACUGGAAGGGCUACGGAGAAGAUUAGCAUGGCCCUGCCCCAGGCUGACACGCAAGUUCGUGAAGCGUUCCAUAUUUAA